UCCUGAGUUGGGUCCAUGAUGAGUUUGUGCACCAAGAGGACCUAACACUUCACUCUGCAUUAGCUGCGGGAGUAUAGCGCUGAGCCUCCUGGUUCAGAGGACCGGAUUUCCAGGCUGCCGGAUGUCCUGGGGUCUGGGUAACUUUGGCAUCAAGAAAGCCUUUAAGAAGACAACGCAGAAGGUGUAUACAAAGCCCAGGAUGAAUCCUUCGAGGGAAGAGCUUGUGGCUGGGAGUCGAUAAACCUGGAACAGGAUUCUUCUUUUGUGCUCAGUACUCACCAGCUCCCAGCAGAGUUAACUGAGCCUACAUCGAAGUCUUUUUUGUUAUUGUUGUUUUUGUGAUUUGGAGGCUAACCACUGCUUUGCAGAAUAUUUCACCUUCUGGAUGUUUUUGACUGUUAGCUCCUGGAAGAAAAGAUGUGUUUCUAUUCAAGUUUGUACCCUUUGCAUUUCGAAAGGGGACAGGACACAGUAGCAUCUCAAGAAAAGAUACAGCUCUUUAUAUCCCUUCUAAAUGGACAAGUUACCAAGUGGGGAGAAGACCAGAUUCCCCAUUUCCUGGUCAGAGUCACACUCAGAACACCAUUGCCUCUUGUGCUCGCUGUGAUGAGAGCUUGGGAAAGAAAUGCCUACAGUUUUCAGAGUCUAUUGCUUGUCUCUCAACUGCUCUGUUCCUGCCAAUACCGUUUCAAAUACAAGAACGUGUUCGUAUUUUUUGUUGUUAUUAAAUAGAGCCAAGUCUCUCCAUCCUCUGUGUUUAUUAUCAUUGAUAGCAUAGAGAUGGAGUACAGACUCCUUGGGUGAUUUUGGCCUGGGCUUGGGUCUUGGUCCUGACAUUUAGCAGUUACCUAAAGGUGGACAAGUCUCUUGCUUCCCUUUGAUUUUAUUUUCUUAUUUGGUAAGAUGGGUAUCAUGAGGAUCUACUUCAAAAGUUGUUGUGAACUUUAUAUAAAUCAGGAAUUUAGAGUAUUUUUCUUACAGAAUAAGCACCAUAUUUGCGUUUGCUAUUAUUAUUUUCUGGACCUGGUAUUGUAAUCCAUGAGAUUUGUGGAGUUAAUACUAUGUCAAAGAAAAUCAGGUAUUUACUGACAAAGAAUUGUGCUAGCUAACUAAAAUAUCAUUUUCCAGUAUUGAGUUGAAAUGUAUGCAAUUAAUGUAAAUUCAUUGUAUAAGAUAGUUUCUUCUUGAGAGUCUUAAAUAAAUAAAAAUAAAUAAUAGUGGAUUAUUUCUUAAGAAAUGCUACUAUUUUGGUAGAUAAAUGUUUCCUU